CUAAUACUCCCUCCGUCCGGAAAUACUUGUCAUCAAAAUGAGUGAAAAGAGAUGUAUCUAGAACUAAAAUACGCCUAGAUACAUCCCCUUUUAUCCAUUUUGAUGACAAGUAUUUCCGGACGGAGGGAGUAGUUA
rnacentral:pre_miRNA from 1 species